GCCUCUUCCGCCUGCGCCUCGCCCAGCGGGGCCGGCGUCGGCCUCCGGUCUGCGCACCCAGUGCUAGCGGUGCACCGCCAUCUUUUUUAUGGGCAAAGAUUCCUUCGCGAUUUAUGUUCCCAAAGUAGGCUUCUUAGAAAGUCCGUAGAGAGAUGUUCGGAAGAGAAUGGACAUCUUGCACACUGAAACACUGAGCUAAAGUGUUGGGGAUCGAAGUGGAAACCCAUGAAACCGAGAAUAAACGAGAGGCCUGCCCUGAGUAAAGGAGCAACAAAUUGAAAGGCUGCAGCUGUGAACAUACACAGGCCUUGUUGAAGAGACUUCAUCAUCACAUGUGAGGAAAGAUGACAAAGAGGAUCCAAAGACAAAGCUGUGUCAUGUGGCUGUGACAAACACAGGCGCCUGAAAACAACAGAAACGUUCGCUCCCAUUUCUGGAGGUCAGAAGCCUCAAGUCAAGAUUGGCCUCUGUCACACCACAUUGCCAGCCUCAUUGGAAGAUACAUACUUAAAAUGGAUAAUCUCCUUGAAGAAAACACCCAGAGAACACUUGAUGUCUACUCUCACACUUAAAAGUCUCAACUUGGAGUCCUGGAGUCAGGUUCAGACAGUGACCUUAUCAGGUUCCUUCGAUGGGUUAUUUAGCCCCUCUAGCAAGAAGAGUGCUGACCCCACAAGGCUGUUGGAAGAGUCAAUUGAAGUGCUGGAUGUUCCGUGUCUGGCACAUAGUAAGUGCUUAAUGGAUGGAGUUAUAAUUAUCUCCUAGCUUAGCUUCCAGCCCAUCCCUGAACCAGUCACACUGGUCAGGUGAUGUCACAGUCUGGCCAGCCAAGCUCGGGUCAUAAAGUAACAUUCUGAACUGACUGCAGCAAGGACUAAGCAUUGCAGAAAGGCCAGGGUGUGAGUGGGGAAGGCAGAGGUUCAUAGCCUAUUUUUGUAGGCAUCAAAGCAGGGGAAGAUGAUGGUACCUUAAAAGAAGGUGGUGAUUGUGGUGUCAGGCUUGAGAAUCCUGUAUUGUGCUUCCUGUGAGCUGAAGGAAGUAAAAAGUUCUCAACUGCUCCAA